rnacentral:rRNA from 1 species
UACGUAGGGUCCGAGCGUUGUCCGGAAUUACUGGGCGUAAAGAGCUCGUAGGUGGUUUUGUCGCGUUGUUCGUGAAAACUCACAGCUCAACUGUGGGCGUGCGGGCGAUACGGGCAGACUAGAGUACUGCAGGGGAGACUGGAAUUCCUGGUGUAGCGGUGGAAUGCGCAGAUAUCAGGAGGAACACCGGUGGCGAAGGCGGGUCUCUGGGCAGUAACUGACGCUGAGGAGCGAAAGCGUGGGGAGCGAACAGG